UAUAGACGCUGGCGGCAUGCCUUAACAUGCAAGUCGAACGGUAACAGGUCUUCGGAUGCUGACGAGUGGCGAACGGGUGAGUAAUACAUCGGAACGUGCCCGAGUCGUGGGGAUAACGGAGCGAAAGCUUUGCUAAUACCGCAUACGAUCUACGGAUGAAAGCAGGGGACCGCAAGGCCUUGCGCGGACGGAGCGGCCGAUGGCAGAUUAGGUAGUUGGUGGGAUAAAAGCUUACCAAGCCGACGAUCUGUAGCUGGUCUGAGAGGACGACCAGCCACACUGGGACUGAGACACGGCCCAGACUCCUACGGGAGGCAGCAGUGGGGAAUUUUGGACAAUGGGCGCAAGCCUGAUCCAGCCAUGCCGCGUGCAGGAUGAAGGCCUUCGGGUUGUAAACUGCUUUUGUACGGAACGAAAAGACUCUUUCUAAUAAAGAGGGUCCAUGACGGUACCGUAAGAAUAAGCACCGGCUAACUACGUG
rnacentral:rRNA from 1 species